rnacentral:rRNA from 1 species
AUGCACGCUGGCGGCGUGCCUUAUCCAUGCAAUUCGAGUGGGUUUAGACCCACGGCAAACGGGUGAGUCACACGUAGGUACUUUCCUUGUCACAGGAAUAACCCUCCGAAAGGAGGGCUAAUACCUGAUGUGAUCGCAAGAUUAAAGGGUAUCCGCAAGGAUUACCGGACAAGAAGAGGCCUGCGGCCUAUCAGCUAGUUGGCGGGGUAAAUGCCCACCAAGGCUAUGACGGGUAGCUGGUCUUAUGAGGAUGAUCAGUCACAUGGGCACUGAGACACGGGCCCAACUCCUACGGGAGGCAGCAGUAGGGAAUUUUGCGCAAUGGGCGAAAGCCUGACGCAGCGACGCCGCGUGCGGGAUGAAGGCCUCCGGGUCGUAAACCGCUUUUAUAAGGGACGAACUUUGACGGUACCUGAUGAAUAAGAGGUUGCUAACUCUGUG